UUUAAAAAUCACAGAUUGCUGUCUUCUCCUGCCCAGUGGGAUGACUUAGCAUGCAUUUUGAUGGUGAUGAUGCACCUCCCCUUGAGCAUCUUUGCAGUUUGCUCACUAGACUUCUGUUUUGCAGUCACCAACAAAAUGCAUUCUAAUCUGGGAGGCAACAAUCUGUUAGAGAUUUUAUAGUCCAGAGGAGUAAAGUUUUGCAGCACCGACCACCUUAAUUGACAACUGUUGCCUGGGAAAAGCUGCCUAGCUCCUCUCGCUGACAAAGAUAUCUCUAUGAAUUCAGUCUUUCCUGUUACGUGAAGUGUAUAUCAAUGUUG